GAUAGUGAACUAGUACCGUGAGGGAAAGAUGAAAAGUACCCCGAUGAGGGGAGUGAAACAGUACCUGAAACCGGAUGCUUACAAGCUGAGGGAGCUCUUCGGAGUGACCUCGUACCUUUUGUAUAAUGGGUCAACGACUUAGUGUUGUAUGCAAGCUUAAACCGUUAGGUGUAGGCGCAGCGAAAGCGAGUCUGAAUAGGGC
rnacentral:rRNA from 1 species